UUAAGCAUAUCAAUAAGCGGAGGAAAAGAAACCAACAGGGAUUGCCCUAGUAACGGCGAGUGAAGCGGCAACAGCUCAAAUUUGAAAUCUGGCUUCGGCCCGAGUUGUAAUUUGCAGAGGAAGCUUUAGGCGCGGCACCUUCUGAGUCCCCUGGAACGGGGCGCCAUAGAGGGUGAGAGCCCCGUAUAGUUGGAUGCCUAGCCUGUGUAAAGCUCCUUCGACGAGUCGAGUAGUUUGGGAAUGCUGCUCAAAAUGGGAGGUAAAUUUCUUCUAAAGCUAAAUACCGGCCAGAGACCGAUAGCGCACAAGUAGAGUGAUCGAAAGAUGAAAAGCACUUUGAAAAGAGGGUUAAAUAGCACGUGAAAUUGUUGAAAGGGAAGCGCUUGUGACCAGACUUGCGCCGGGCGGAUCAUCCGGUGUUCUCACCGGUGCACUCCGCCCGGCUCAGGCCAGCAUCGGUUCUCGCGGGGGGAUAAAGGUCUCGGGAACGUAGCUCCUCCGGGAGUGUUAUAGCCCGGGGCGUAAUGCCCUCGCGGGGACCGAGGUUCGCGCAUCUGCAAGGAUGCUGGCGUAAUGGUCAUCAGCGACCCGUCUUGAAACACGGACCAAGGAGUCAAGGUUUUGCGCGAGUGUUUGGGUGUAAAACCCGCACGCGUAAUGAAAGUGAACGUAGGUGAGAGCUUCGGCGCAUCAUCGACCGAUCCUGAUGUUUUCGGAUGGAUUUGAGUAGGAGCGUUAAGCCUUGGACCCGAAAGAUGGUGAACUAUGCUUGGAUAGGGUGAAGCCAGAGGAAACUCUGGUGGAGGCUCGCAGCGGUUCUGACGUGCAAAUCGAUCGUCAAAUCUGAGCAUGGGGGCGAAAGACUAAUCGAACCAUCUAGUAGCUGGUUACCGCCG
rnacentral:rRNA from 1 species